GCAGUCGACGGUAACAUCUUGCNCNNUACNGAUGACGAGUGGCGGACGGGUGAGUAAUGCUUGGGAACUUGCCUUUGCGAGGGGGAUAACAGUUGGAAACGACUGCUAAUACCGCAUAAUGUCUUCGGACCAAACGGGGCUUCGGCUCCGGCGCAAAGAGAGGCCCAAGUGAGAUUAGCUAGUUGGUAAGGUAACGGCUUACCAAGGCGACGAUCUCUAGCUGUUCUGAGAGGAAGAUCAGCCACACUGGGACUGAGACACGGCCCAGACUCCUACGGGAGGCAGCAGUGGGGAAUAUUGCACAAUGGGGGAAACCCUGAUGCAGCCAUGCCGCGUGUGUGAAGAAGGCCUUCGGGUUGUAAAGCACUUUCAGUUGUGAGGAAAAGUUAGUAGUUAAUACCUGCUAGCCGUGACGUUAACAACAGAAGAAGCACCGGCUAACUCCGUGCCAGCAGCCGCGGUAAUACGGAGGGUGCGAGCGUUAAUCGGAAUUACUGGGCGUAAAGCGCACGCAGGCGGUUUGUUAAGCUAGAUGUGAAAGCCCCGGGCUCAACCUGGGAUGGUCAUUUAGAACUGGCAGACUAGAGUCUUGGAGAGGGGAGUGGAAUUCCAGGUGUAGCGGUGAAAUGCGUAGAUAUCUGGAGGAACAUCAGUGGCGAAGGCGACUCCCUGGCCAAAGACUGACGCUCAUGUGCGAAAGUGUGGGUAGCGAACAGGAUUAGAUACCCUGGUAGUCCACACCGUAAACGCUGUCUACUAGCUGUGUGUGCCUUUAAGGCGUGCGUAGCGAAGCUAACGCGCUAAGUAGACCGCCUGGGGAGUACGGCCGCAAGGUUAAAACUCAAAUGAAUUUGACGGGGGCCCGCACAAGCGGUGGAGCAUGUGGUUUAUUCNAUGCAACGCGANAANCCUUACCUACNCUUGACAUGCUGAGAAGUUACUANAGANAGUUUCNUGCCUUCGGGAACUC
rnacentral:rRNA from 1 species